CGUGGCCAGGGGCUGGCCAAUGACCAGGCCGCCCGGGAUGAGCUAAUAAUGGAAGCAAUUUGUAACUUUCAGUAGCUCUCUAGGCCUGGGUACCGGAGGGAGGGAGGCGGGCAGAGGAGGGGAGAUGGGCACCCCCAGUCUUUCCAUCCUCCUCAUUCGUCUAGGGGCACCCGAAUCCCCUAUUCCUUAUUUCCCCUAUCACUCAGGCACUGGCAGGGUCCUUUGCCCACUCCUGUUGGCCGCUGCGGCUCCAAAGCGAGAUGUGCCUGAGACAGGUUUGACCAGGCAACUGAAAAGACAUCCCUAAGAGAAGACAAAGCAAAGGUAUGAAAGGAACACACGUCCCUGACUGACUAGGAGGAACAGAGCUGCCUGCUAUCUGGAACAACUUCCUCCCAGACUAAGUGAGGCCCGGAGAGAAGAUAUGACUUGCUUAAGGUCACACACUUAGUUUCUCUGUCAAUCUUUCUAAAUCUAGGACGAGUUCUCUUCCCACUGUAUCAGGCUGCCUCAACAAACAGGGAAGUACAAAAAUAGCCAAAUCCAGGAAGGAGGGCAAGUGGUCUGUGUCUCCUCCAAUUAUUUCAUGGGACAGCCAAGCCUAUUUUCUUGAUUUCCCUUGUGCCCCUCCUGUCGGAUAUCUG
rnacentral:lncRNA from 1 species